rnacentral:tRNA from 1 species
GCCUUCGUGGUGUAACAGUUAGUACACUCGCCGCGUAAUCGAGAGUUUCAGGUUCGAAUCCCGGUGACGGCA